GCGUGGGUCGGCCUGCUGUGUACGGGAAUCAGCGGGCCGGGGGACGCCGUCGCCUUCAAUCCCCGUGGGUGACGGCCCGGUCCGGGAGGCGGACUGCGCCUCCCGGGCUGCU
rnacentral:ncRNA from 1 species